UAGCUAGUUGGUGAGGUAACGGCCCACCAAGGCGACGAUCGGUAGCCGGACUGAGAGGUUGAACGGCCACAUUGGGACUGAGACACGGCCCAGACUCCUACGGGAGGCAGCAGUGGGGAAUAUUGCACAAUGGGGGAAACCCUGAUGCAGCGACGCCGCGUGGAGGAAGAAGGUCUUCGGAUUGUAAACUCCUGUUGUUGAGGAAGAUAAUGACGGUACUCAACAAGGAAGUGACGGCUAACUACGUGCCAGCAGCCGCGGUAAAACGUAGGUCACAAGCGUUGUCCGGAAUUACUGGGUGUAAAGGGAGCGCAGGCGGGAAGACAAGUUGGAAGUGAAAUCCAUGGGCUCAACCCAUGAACUGCUUUCAAAACUGUUUUUCUUGAGUAGUGCAGAGGUAGGCGGAAUUCCCGGUGUAGCGGUGGAAUGCGUAGAUAUCGGGAGGAACACCAGUGGCGAGGGCGGCCUACUGGGCACCAACUGACGCUGAGGCUCGAAAGUGUGGGUAGCAAACAGGAUUAGAUACCCUGGUAGUCCACACUGUAAACGAUGAUUACUAGGUGUUGGAGGAUUGACCCCUUCAGUGCCGCAGUUAACACAAUAAGUAAUCCACCUGGGGAGUACGACCGCAAGGUUGAAACUCAAAGGAAUUGACGGGGGCCCGCACAAGCAGUGGAGUAUGUGGUUUAAUUCGACGCAACGCGAAGAACCUUACCAAGUCUUGACAUCCUGCGACGCACAUAGAAAUAUGUGUUUCCUUCGGGACGCAGAGACAGGUGGUGCAUGGUUGUCGUCAGCUCGUGUCGUGAGAUGUUGGGUUAAGUCCCGCAACGAGCGCAACCCUUAUGGUCAGUUACUACGCAAGAGGACUCUGGCCAGACUGCCGUUGACAAAACGGAGGAAGGUGGGGAUGACGUCAAAUCAUCAUGCCCUUUAUGACUUGGGCUACACACGUACUACAAUGGCGUUAAACAAAGAGAAGCAAGACCGCGAGGUGGAGCAAAACUCAGAAACAACGUCCCAGUUCGGACUGCAGGCUGCAACUCGCCUGCACGAAGUCGGAAUUGCUAGUAAUCGCAGAUCAGCAUGCUGCGGUGAAUACGUUCCCGGGCCUUGUACACACCGCCCGUCACACCAUGAGAGCCGGGGGGACCCGAAGUCGGUAGUCUAACCGCAAGGAGGACGCCGCCGAAGGUAAAACUGGUGAUUGGGGUGAAGUCGGAACAAGGUAGCCGUUCGAGAUCGAGCGGCUG
rnacentral:rRNA from 1 species